AUUGAACGCUGGCGGCAGGCCUAACAAAUGCAAGUCGAACGAGUGGCGGAAGGGUGAGUAAUGUCUGGGAAACUGCCUGAUGGAGGGGGAUAACUACUGGAAACGGUAGCUAAUACCGCAUACCAUCGGAUGUGCCCAGAUGGGAUUAGCUAGUAGGUGGGGUAAAGGCUAACCUAGGCGAAGAUCCCUAGCUGGUCUGAGAGGAUGACCCGCCACACUGGAACUGAGACACGGUCCAGACUCCUACGGGCGGCAGCAGUGGGGAAUAUUGCACAAUUGGCGCAAGCCUGCUGCAGCCAUGCCGCGUGUAUGAAGAAGGCCUUCGGGUUGUAAAGUACUUUCAGCGGGGAGGCGUUACCCGCAGAAGAAGCACCGGCUAACUCCGUGCCAGCAGCCGCGGUAAUAC
rnacentral:rRNA from 1 species